CGACUGAAGCGCACACAAGCGGCCAAUCCGGAAAUCUCUGGAAUCUGGCAACAACGCUUGCAGCGUUUUGGCGUUCUCUUUGCGUGUGUGGUCUCCAACGUUGCUGGCCACUGUAGGAUGUUUGUAUCGAGAGCCAGCCGCUACGCCUUCAGGAUUUCCCACAAUGUCUACUUUGACAACCAGUUGAAGACUGGGAAGGACCGUGUCGUGUCAUCGUCGGCAUUCGCACUGUCGACUGUGGGCAUUCUGCUGUCUGCCUUUGGCCUCCGACAGAUGGGUCACAACCAGAAAUGGAUGGAGCGCGGUUGAUGACACUGAAAUGACACUAGCCUAAAUCAAUUCUCCAACCCUUAGGCAAUGCCACCUUUGCCCAGCAUGUUGCUUUAACAGAAGGUCAGCAUGAAUUGCACCAUCAUCACAUUGACAGUCAAGGACUUCUUGUGCUUAGAAAGCUUGCUGUUUUAGCACCCAUUCUUGUAUCAAAGUUUCCAACAACCUGUAUUUUUGUCGAAAAAGAUCUGUUUGAACGUUAUGAUGAUGAAUGUUAGAUUUAUGUUGAAUAAACCCUCAUCCAUCAAGUUA